GAGUUUGAUCGUGGCUCAGAUUGAACGCUGGCGGCAUGCCUUACACAUGCAAGUCGAACGGUAACGCGGGGCAACCUGGCGACGAGUGGCGAACGGGUGAGUAAUGCAUCGGAACGUGCCCAGUAGUGGGGGAUAGCCCGGCGAAAGCCGGAUUAAUACCGCAUACGACCUGAGGGUGAAAGCGGGGGAUCGCAAGACCUCGCGCUAUUGGAGCGGCCGAUGUCAGAUUAGGUAGUUGGUGGGGUAAAGGCCUACCAAGCCUACGAUCUGUAGCUGGUCUGAGAGGACGACCAGCCACACUGGGACUGAGACACGGCCCAGACUCCUACGGGAGGCAGCAGUGGGGAAUAUUGGACAAUGGGCGAAAGCCUGAUCCAGCAAUGCCGCGUGAGUGAUGAAGGCCCUAGGGUUGUAAAGCUCUUUUACCCGGGAUGAUAAUGACAGUACCGGGAGAAUAAGCUCCGGCUAACUCCGUGCCAGCAGCCGCUGUAAU
rnacentral:rRNA from 1 species